UCUGAACUGGGUGACUAGAGUGUGUCAGAGGGAGGUAGAAUUCCACGUGUAGCAGUGAAAUGCGUAGAGAUGUGGAGGAAUACCGAUGGCGAAGGCAGCCUCCUGGGAUAACACUGACGUUCAUGCCCGAAAGCGUGGGUAGCAAACAGGAUUAGAUACCCUGGUAGUCCACGCCCUAAACGAUGUUGAUUAGCUGUUGGGCAGCAUGACUGCUUAGUAGCGAAGCUAACGCGUGAAAUCGACCGCCUGGGGAGUACGGUCGCAAGAUUAAAACUCAAAGGAAUUGACGGGGACCCGCACAAGCGGUGGAUGAUGUGGAUUAAUUCGAUGCAACGCGAAGAACCUUACCUGGUCUUGACAUGUACGGAACCCUCCAGAGACGGAGGGGUGCCUUCGGGAGCCGUAACACAGGUGCUGCAUGGCUGUCGUCAGCUCGUGUCGUGAGAUGUUGGGUUAAGUCCCGCAACGAGCGCAACCCUUGUCAUUAGUUGCCAUCAUUAAGUUGGGCACUCUAAUGAGACUGCCGGUGACAAGCCGGAGGAAGGUGGGGAUGACGUCAAGUCCUCAUGGCCCUUAUGACCAGGGCUUCACACGUCAUACAAUGGUCGGUACAGAGGGUAGCCAAGCCGCGAGGCGGAGCCAAUCUCACAAAACCGAUCGUAGUCCGGAUUGCACUCUGCAACUCGAGUGCAUGAAGUCGGAAUCGCUAGUAAUCGCAGGUCAGCAUACUGCGGUGAAUACGUUCCCGGGUCUUGUACACACCGCCCGUCACACCAUGGGAGUGGGGGAUACCAGAAGUA
rnacentral:rRNA from 1 species